GACGAACGCUGGCGGCGUGCCUAAUACAUGCAAGUAGAACGCUGAAGAGAGGAGCUUGCUCUUCUUGGAUGAGUUGCGAACGGGUGAGUAACGCGUAGGUAACCCGCCUUGUAGCGGGGGAUAACUAUUGGAAACGAUAGCUAAUACCGCAUAACAAUGGAUGACCCAUGUCAUUUAUUUGAAAGGGGCAAAUGCUCCACUACAAGAUGGACCUGCGUUGUAUUAGCUAGUAGGUGAGGUAACGGCUCACCUAGGCGACGAUACAUAGCCGACCUGAGAGGGUGAUCGGCCACACUGGGACUGAGACACGGCCCAGACUCCUACGGGAGGCAGCAGUAGGGAAUCUUCGGCAAUGGGGGCAACCCUGACCGAGCAACGCCGCGUGAGUGAAGAAGGUUUUCGGAUCGUAAAGCUCUGUUGUAAGUCAAGAACGAGUGUGAGAGUGGAAAGUUCACACUGUGACGGUAGCUUACCAGAAAGGGACGGCUAACUACGUG
rnacentral:rRNA from 1 species